rnacentral:rRNA from 1 species
CCUACGGGCUGCAGCAGUGGGGAAUAUUGCACAAUGGGCGCAAGCCUGAUGCAGCCAUGCCGCGUGUAUGAAGAAGGCCUUCGGGUUGUAAAGUACUUUCAGCGAGGAGGAAGGCGUUAAGGUUAAUAACCUUAGCGAUUGACGUUACUCGCAGAAGAAGCACCGGCUAACUCCGUGCCAGCAGCCGCGGUAAUACGGAGGGUGCAAGCGUUAAUCGGAAUUACUGGGCGUAAAGCGCACGCAGGCGGUUUGUUAAGUCAGAUGUGAAAUCCCCGGGCUCAACCUGGGAACUGCAUCUGAUACUGGCAAGCUUGAGUCUCGUAGAGGGGGGUAGAAUUCCAGGUGUAGCGGUGAAAUGCGUAGAGAUCUGGAGGAAUACCGGUGGCGAAGGCGGCCCCCUGGACGAAGACUGACGCUCAGGUGCGAAAGCGUGGGGAGCAAACAGGAUUAGAUACCCCGGUAGUC